rnacentral:rRNA from 1 species
CCUACGGGUGGCAGCAGUGAGGAAUAUUGGUCAAUGGACGAGAGUCUGAACCAGCCAAGUAGCGUGAAGGAUGACUGCCCUAUGGGUUGUAAACUUCUUUUAUAUGGGAAUAAAAUGUUCCACGUGUGGGAUUUUGUAUGUACCAUAUGAAUAAGGAUCGGCUAACUCCGUGCCAGCAGCCGCGGUAAUACGGAGGAUCCGAGCGUUAUCCGGAUUUAUUGGGUUUAAAGGGAGCGUAGGUGGAUUGUUAAGUCAGUUGUGAAAGUUUGCGGCUCAACCGUAAAAUUGCAGUUGAAACUGGCAGUCUUGAGUACAGUAGAGGUGGGCGGAAUUCGUGGGGUAGCGGUGAAAUGCUUAGAUGUCACGAAGAACUCCGAUUGCGAAGGCAGUUCACUGGACUGCAACUGACACUGAGGCUCGAAAGUGUGGGUAUCAAACAGGAUUAGAUACCCGUGUAGUC